rnacentral:rRNA from 1 species
UAACUCCUUUUAUCACAAUCGCACCGCAAGUGUGGAAAGGGGUCCUCAGGGCUCAUGCAUUUGAAUGGGCUUUUGUUAAACGAAAUAGUUAGCGAAAAGGAGGGGGUAAGACUGGUGCCAGCCCCCGCGGAAACACCAGCGCCACAAGGGGCAACCACUCCCCUUGGGCCUAAAGCGUCCGUAGCCGGUUAGGUAAAUCUCUUGUGAAUCGUCUUGCUUAACGUGACGCCGUGCUCGAGACAUUGCCUAAUUCGGGACCGGGGGGGAGCCGGAGGUAUUCCAGGGGGGGGGGGUAAAAUGUGAUAAUCCCUGGAGGAUCACCUUUUGGCGAGGGCUUCCGACCAGAACGGAUCUGACGGGAAGGACGAAGUUUUUUUGGAGCGAUCCGGUUUAAUUACCCGAGGGGCUUAGAGGAAACGCUGCGAGAAAAAUGUUGCGCUUCUUAAGAGGAUGCGCAGGUUCCAAAAAAAAGCCGUAAAGCCCCCGCCUGGAAGGAACGGCCCCAAGAUUGAAACUUAAAGGAAUUGGCGGGGGAAAGGGCAAAUUCUUUUAACCUGGAGGACUAGGUCCCUUUGGGAGGUUUAUUUUUU